rnacentral:rRNA from 1 species
CAAAAACAUCGCCUCCUGACUAAACAUAGGAGGUCAGGCCUGCCCAGUGACAUUGUUCAACGGCCGCGGUAUCCUAACCGUGCGAAGGUAGCGUAAUCACUUGUUCUUUAAAUGAGGACUAGUAUGAACGGCUUCACGAGAGCUAUGCUGUCUCCUUUAUCCAAUCAGUAAAACUAAUCUCCCCGUGAAGAAGCGGGGAUACAAUUAUAAGACGAGAAGACCCUAUGGAGCUUUAAACUCUUUUAACACUUGAACUACGUAUAAAAUUUUCAGAAAGCUUCAUUAAACCAAUCAUUUUGUUUCAGGUUUUAGGUUGGGGUGACCACGGAGAAAAAAUUAACCUCCACGUGGAAAGAAACUAUCUUCUAAGCAAAAAGCUACACCUUUAUGCAUCAAUACAUUGACCUAAAUUGACCCAAUUGCUUGAUCAACGAACCAAGUUACCCUAGGGAUAACAGCGCAAUCCGCUUUAAGAGCUCCUAUCGACAAGCGGGCUUACGACCUCGAUGUUGGAUCAGGGUAUCCUAGUGGUGCAGCAGCUACUAACGGUUCG